GAUGAACGCUGGCGGCGUGCCUAAUACAUGCAAGUCGAGCGAACAGACGAGGAGCUUGCUCCUCUGACGUUAGCGGCGGACGGGUGUGUAACACGUGGAUACCCUACCUAUAAGACUGGGAUCACUUCGGGAAACCGGCGCUAAUACCGGAUAAUAUAUUGAACCACAUGGUUCAAUAGUGAAAGACGGUUUUGCUGUCACUUAUAGAUGGAUCCGAGCCGCAUUAGCUAGUUGGUAAGGUAACGGCUUACCAAGGCAACGAUGCGUAGCCGACCUGCGGGGGUGAUCGGCCACACGGGAACUGAGACACGGUCCAGACUCCUACGGGAGGCAGCAGUAGGGAAUCUUACGCAAUGGGCGAAAGCUUGACGCAGCAACGCCGCGUGAGUGAUGAAGGUCUUCGGAUCGUAAAGCUCUGUUAUUAGGGAAGAACAAAUGUGUAAGUAACUAUGCACGUCUUGACGGUAACUAAUCAGAAAGCCACGGCUAACUACGUG
rnacentral:rRNA from 1 species